GGCUAAACCAUGCACCGAAGCUGCGGCAGCGAACGUAUCACCCAAGACAACUUUACGGAGUUGACGAUUGACGGAGCGAAGCGACGUCAAAGCGUUCAUUAAAGUCGAGUUGGCUUAGGGAUACGUUCGUUGGGUAGGGGAGCGUUCUGUAAGCCUGUGAAGGUGUGUCGUGAGGCAUGCUGGAGGUAUCAGAAGUGCGAAUGCUGACAUAAGUAACGAUAAAGCGGGUGAAAAGCCCGCUCGCCGGAAGACCAAGGGUUCCUGUCCAACGUUAAUCGGGGCAGGGUGAGUCGACCCCUAAGGCGAGGCCGAAAGGCGUAGUCGAUGGGAAACGGGUUAAUAUUCCCGUACUUGGUGUUACUGCGAAGGGGGGACGGAGAAGGCUAUGUUGGCCGGGCGACGGUUGUCCCGGUUUAAGCGUGUAGGUGUGUGUUCCAGGUAAAUCCGGUUCACUUUAACACUGAGGCGUGACGACGAGGCACUACGGUGCUGAAGCAACAAAUGCCCUGCUUCCAGGAAAAGCCUCUAAGCAUCAGGUAACAC
rnacentral:rRNA from 2 species